rnacentral:rRNA from 1 species
AAAAGCCCAGCUUGCUGGGUGGAUUAGUGGCGAACGGGUGAGUAACACGUGAGUAACCUACCCUUGACUCUGGGAUAAGCCUGGGAAACUGGGUCUAAUACCGGAUAGGAACGUCCACCGCAUGGUGGUUGUUGGAAAGAUUUAUCGGUCAUGGAUGGACUCGCGGCCUAUCAGCUUGUUGGUGAGGUAAUGGCUCACCAAGGCGACGACGGGUAGCCGGCCUGAGAGGGUGACCGGCCACACUGGGACUGAGACACGGCCCAGACUCCUACGGGAGGCAGCAGUGGGGAAUAUUGCACAAUGGGCGAAAGCCUGAUGCAGCGACGCCGCGUGAGGGAUGACGGCCUUCGGGUUGUAAACCUCUUUCAGUAGGGAAGAAGCGAAAGUGACGGUACCUGCAGAAGAAGCACCGGCUAACUACGUGCCAGCAGCCGCGGUAAUACGUAGGGUGCGAGCGUUAUCCGGAAUUAUUGGGCGUAAAGAGCUCGUAGGCGGUUUGUCGCGUCUGUCGUGAAAGUCCGGGGCUUAACCCCGGAUCUGCGGUGGGUACGGGCAGACUAGAGUGCAGUAGGGGAGACUGGAAUUCCUGGUGUAGCGGUGGAAUGCGCAGAUAUCAGGAGGAACACCGAUGGCGAAGGCAGGUCUCUGGGCUGUAACUGACGCUGAGGAGCGAA